CGAGUAAGCUGAGCGACCGCGGGCAUAAGGCGAAAGCCUGUGCGUGAGGAAAGUCCGGGCUCCAUAGGGCAGGGAUAACGGGUAACGCCCGCCGGAGGCAACUUCAGGACAAGUGCAACAGAGAUAUACCGCCGCGUCCGCGCGGUAAGGGUGGAAAGGCGAGGUAAGAGCUCACCCGGCGGCUGGGAACAGUCCGCCGCUGUAAACUCUAUCCGGAGCAACACCGUGGGAGGACAUAUGGCUUGCCCGGCCGUCCUCAGGAGGUGGCUGAAGCCCCGCGGCAACGCAGGGCUUAGAUAGAUGGUCGUUCACGACAGAACCCGGCUUACAGGCUUGCUCGCAUA
rnacentral:RNase_P_RNA from 1 species